rnacentral:rRNA from 1 species
GACGAAGGAUGCAAGCGUUAUCCGGAUUCAUUGGGUUUAAAGGGAGCGUAGGCGGCCAGAUAAGUCCGGUGUGAAAGUCACAGGCUCAACCUGUGAAUGCCGCUGGAAACUGUCUGGCUAGAGUCCGGGAGGGGCGAGUGGAAUUCCUGGUGUAGCGGUGAAAUGCGUAGAGAUCGGAAAGAACACCAACGGCGAAAGCACUCUGCUGGGCCGACACUGACACUGAGAGACGAAAGCUAGGGGAGCGAAUGGG